UGAAGGAACGUUGAAGACGAUGACGUUGAUAGGCCGGGUGUGUAAGCGCAGCGAUGCGUUGAGCUAACCGGUACUAAUGAACCGUGAGGCUUAACCUUACAACGCCGAAG
rnacentral:rRNA from 2 species